AACUGAAACAUCUAAGUACCCGGAGGAAGAGAAAGAAAAAUCGAUUUUCUAAGUAGCGGCGAGCGAAAGGGAAAGAGGCCAAACCGUUAGUUUACUAGCGGGGUUGUGGAUCACAGCUGUGGUAGAUACAAGUUUAGCAGAAGACAACUGGAAAGUUUGCGACGUAGAGGGUAAAAUCCCCGUAUGCGAAAGAUGAGUAUCACCUAUGUGACACCAGAGUAGGACCGAACACGUGGAAUUCGGUUUGAAGCCGGGGGGCCCACCCCCCAAGCCUAAAUACUACCCAGUGACCGAUAGUGAAUAGUACCGUGAGGGAAAGGUGAAAAGGACCCCGGGAGGGGAGUGAAAAAGAACCUGAAACCUUAUGCUUACAAGCAGAGGGAGCGCAAGUGACCUCGUACUUUUUGUAGAACGGGCCAACGAGUUAUGGUAUGCAGCGAGGUUAAGGUGCUGGAGCACCGGAGCCGUAGAGAAAUCGAGUCUGAAAGGGCGGAAGUUGUAUGCUGUAGACCCGAAACCGGGUGAUCUAUCCAUGUCCAGGUUGAAGUAACUGUAAUAGGUUAUGGAGGACCGAACUUAUAUCUGUUGAAAAAGGUUAGGAUGAGGUGUGGAUAGGGGUGAAAUUCCAAUCGAACUCGGAUAUAGCUGGUUCUCCUCGAAAUAGCUUUAGGGCUAGCCUCGUAGUAAGAUACCUGGGGGUAGAGCACUGAAUGUUCUAGGGGCCUUCACCGGUUACCGAAAACUAUCAAACUCCGAAUACCAGAGUAUCAUCUACGGGAGUCAGACUAUGUGAGAUAAGUUUCAUAGUCGAAAGGGAAACAGCCCAGACCGUCAGCUAAGGUCCCAAAAUAUAGGUUAAGUGGAAAAGGAUGUGGGGUUGCACAGACAGCUAGGAUGUUGGCUUAGAAGCAGCCAUUCAUUCAAAGAGUGCGUAAUAGCUCACUAGUCGAGUGACCCUGCGCCGAAGAUAAACGGGGCUAAAAUCUAUUACCGAAGCUACGGAUACUUAAUGUAUGGUAGAGGAGCGUCGUAUAAGGAUAGAAGCAGUAUUGAAAGGUACUGUGGACUUUAUACGAGAGAGAAUGUUGGCAUGAGUAGCGCGAGGCAGGUGAGAAUCCUGCCCACCGAAAAUCUAAGGUUUCCUGAGGAAGGUUCGUCCACUCAGGGUUAGUCGGGGCCUAAGCCGAGAGCGAACGCUGUAGGCGAUGGACAACUGGUAGAUAUUCCAGUACCACCGAAUGUCGUUAUAAGUGAAGUGGGGACACAGAAGGAUAGGUUGAGCGCACCGUUGGUAGAGUGCGUCCAAGCGUUAAGGGAGCUGAAGCAGGCAAAUCCGCAUCAGCAAUUCUGAGGCGUUACGGGGAGUCUAAAAAGACGGAAGCAACUGAUUUCAUACUGUCAAGAAAAGCCGCUAGCAAGACACUAGGUGCCCGUACCGCAAACCGACACAGGUAGAUGAGGAGAGAAUCCUAAGGCGAGCGAGAGAACUAUUGUUAAGGAACUCGGCAAAAUUACCCCGUAACUUCGGGAGAAGGGGUGCCUGCGAAGAGCAGGCCGCAGUGAAUAGGCCCAGGCGACUGUUUACCAAAAACACAGGUCUCUGCUAAAGCGAAAGCUGAAGUAUAGGGGCUGACGCCUGCCCGGUGCUGGAAGGUUAAGGGGACGUGUCAUCGCAAGAGAAGCACUGAACUUAAGCCCCAGUAAACGGCGGCCGUAACUAUAACGGUCCUAAGGUAGCGAAAUUCCUUGUCAGGUAAGUUCUGACCCGCACGAAAGGUGUAAUGAUUUGGGCACUGUCUCGGCAGCAGACUCGGUGAAAUCUUAGUACCUGUGAAGAUGCAGGUUACCCGCAACUAGACGGAAAGACCCCAUGGAGCUUUACUGUAGUCUGCUAUUGAGUUUCGGUUAAGUAUGCACAGGAUAGGUGGGAGACGAUGAGACUGGUCUUUCGGGAUCAGAGGAGUCACUGUUGGGAUACCACUCUUACUUAAUUGAAAUUCUAACUCUAAGCCGUGAUCCGGCUAGAGGACCGUGGCAGAUGGGCAGUUUGACUGGGGCGGUCGCCUCCCAAAGAGUAACGGAGGCGCACAAAGGUACUCUCAGAAUGGUUGGAAAUCAUUCAACGAGCGCAAACGCAGAAGAGUGCUUGACUGCGAGACAAACAAGUCGAGCAGGGACGAAAGUCGGUGUUAGUGAUCCGGCGGUGCAGAAUGGAAUGGCCGUCGCUUAACGGAUAAAAGCUACCCUGGGGAUAACAGGCUGAUCUCCCCCAAGAGUUCACAUCGACGGGGAGGUUUGGCACCUCGAUGUCGGCUCAUCGCAUCCUGGGGCUGUAGUCGGUCCCAAGGGUUGGGCUGUUCGCCCAUUAAAGCGGUACGCGAGCUGGGUUCAGAACGUCGUGAGACAGUUCGGUCCCUAUCUGUUGUGGGCGUUGGAAAUUUGAGGAGAGCUGCCCCUAGUACGAGAGGACCAGGGUGGACGUUCCUACGGUGCACCAGUUGUCACGCCAGUGGCAUAGCUGGAUAGCUGAGAACGGACCGGAUAAACGCUGAAGGCAUCUAAGCGUGAAACCGACUCCAAGAUUAGAUUUCCCAUCAUUUCAAAUGAAUAAGACCCCUUGAAGACGACGAGGUUGAUAGGUCAGAGAUGUAAGUGUAGCGAUACAUUCAGUUGACUGAUACUAAUAGGUCGAAGAUUUAUUCAC
rnacentral:rRNA from 1 species